UGUGGGUGAGAUGGAGAAGCACCAAGGACACUGCAGCUCAUUUUGCUACCUAGCUGCCUCCUCCUUCCAUCGAGAGUAAUACUCAGCAGCCUGCAGGGAUAUUUCUUUGCAUGCUUUCUUGCUGCUGGAAUACCAAUCUCCCCAGUCUCCAAGGUGUAGCCUAAAGUGGUUUAUACAAGAUGAUCUUGCCAAGUAUUUACAAGUAUUUAAGAAAGUACCAAACAUUUUUAAUCUGUAGUGUUUUAUUAAGCCUUUGGAUAGAUUCUCUGACAAGUUGUGGGUAGCUGACUUUCCCUUACGUAUCAUAAGAUCACACUGACAGCUUUGGCUCAAACAUAGGACUAGUCACUAUGAAAGGCAAGACGUAGGUCAGAAACCCAAUGAACUGUGCCAUUCAACUUGGCUGCUGAGUCACCUUUCAAAACUGAGAAUGGCUGCUAAAGGUCAUGGAGCAAUAUAUCUGGAAGGUUAUUAUGGUCACAGGCCCAUUAUCUAUGAGAGUUGGAGCAAUCAGCAGUCAAUCAGCAAUUAACUCAAUUGCUAGACUUCCUAAACUGUCUGGUUUGUUAAAGAGUCAAUAACCGAUAAUUUUUUUUCGUAUAGUUUUGGGAGUGACAGUGUCUGUUGGGAAAUCAUUGAGAAUGUGAGAAUGCUUGCGUUAAGAUAUAUAUGAGUAUCACAUUAUUCUUUAAGAUAGCUUACAAGUCACUUUUCCUGUAAGUACAAAAAUUCUGUAGUCCAGGCUGGAUCAACCUUUCUCAGUUACAUAUCACUGAUCAUCUAUGUACUCCUUCCAUAACACAGGAAUGUUUUAAUUUCUCAACACUUUAUUGCUAGAAGCCUUAUAUUUCUCUUCAUUCUAUCUAGAAGAUAUUGACUAGCAUAUACAAUAAAUAAAGAAAGAAAUAGAAUUCAUCAACUAGAAAAAAUUUUAAAUUUUGCACAAGUGGCUGAAACAGGUAAUUUUAGCUUAUGUACUCCAUGUGGAAAAAUUGGAGCUGAAGUAUUUUCUAACUGCAACCUAAUUACUUCUAUCUAACCUAGUUGACAGUGAUGAGUAAUGUUCUUACUAAACAGAAAAAAAAAGUCUCUAACUGAUCACAAUGUGCAAACAUCAUUAAUAAGAAAAACUAUUUGGCAAUAUAAGGAUCUGUAUUAUCUGAUUUUGUUAGGAAGAUGUAAAUAUAAUUACUGAAGUGACCAGUAACCAUCGCCACGAUAUUUUGUAUCUAAAUUAAUAGUAAGGUUCAAGUUCCUAAUUUUAUGCUACACGUUACACUGAAAAUCAAUAUAAACAGCUAAUGAAGUCCUUUUUCUUCUCACUUUGACAAUGACAGUCCUUUCAGGGGAGGUUCAGAUUGGAUAUUAAGAAAAAAUUCCUACCCUUCGACAGAGGGUAUCCUAUCCUUAGACAGAGGGAAUCUGGACAGGCUAGAUUGUUGGGUUGAGGCAUGAAGUUCAGCAAGACCAAGUGUUGGGUCCUGCACUUUGGUUACAAAAAACCCAGACAACACUACAGCUUUAGGCAGAGUGCUGCCUGGAAGAACUGCACAGAGAGAUAAAGGGCCUGGGAGUGUUGGUCGAUGUUUAGCUGAACGUAAGACAGCAGUGUGUCCGUGUGUCCAAGAAGACAAAUGGCAUCGUAGUCUAUAUCAGAAAUAGUGCAGUCAGCAAAACUAAUGAGAUGAUCGUCCCUCUGUACUCAGCUCUGGUGAGCCCACAGCACAAAUACUGUCUUCAGUUUUGGGCCUUUCUCUACAAGAAAGACAUUGAAGCCCUGGAGUGUGUCCAGAGAAGGACAACGAAGCUGCUGAGGGGUGUGGAGCACAGAUGUUAUGGGGAGUGUCUGAAGGAACUGGAUUGUUCAGCCUGGAGAAGAGGAGGCUCAGGAUUGACCUUAUUGCCCUCUACCAGUCCCUGAAAAGAGGUUGUGGUGAGGUGAGAGUUGGCCUCUGCUCCCUGGUAACUAGCAAUAGGACAAAAGGAAAUGGUCUCAAGUUGCACCAGGAGAGGUUCAGAUUGGGUGUUAGGAACAAUUUCUUCUCCAGAAGAGUGGAUAGACAUUGGAAUGGGCUGCUCAGGGAGGUGGUGAAGACACUGUCCCUGGAGGUGUUUCAAGAAAAGAGUAGAUGUCAUACUUAAGGACAUGGUUUAGUGGCAGCAUGGUUGGUAGGUGGGCAGUUGGAUUAGAUGGUCCCAGAGGUGUUUUCCAACCUUACUGAUUCUAUGAUUUUAUAAUUCUAUGAUUUUAUGAAGAUGUUUGAUUUUUUUUCAUUUUCUUUAAAAUAUUUGAUUUCCAACUGUUUCCAUCAAAACAUUUCAGAAACUAAGUCUGACUUCUUUUUCUGGAAGUUAGAAAUAUUUUAUUUAAAUUCUUUCAUCCUAAAUUGGAGAUCAAAAAUCCAAAGAGAUGGUUACGAGGAAAAAAACAGAACUGCAACCUAAGAAGAAUCUUGAGGAAAUUCUAUUAAGAAAUUGAAACAUUUUAUUUACAUCCAAAGUAUCCCAGCCUGUUUCUGGGGCUCCAUGCUUUGGCACGUGUAAAUUUCUAUUUCAUGUGGCAUGGUUCACCAUGUCAUGAAGCUACUGAUAAAAGAGGGAAAGAGUGAGUUGGCUGUGGGCACUGGGAAUCUUUCUAACAGCACUGAUUUGCUCCAUGGGUCAUAAACUGCUCAUCCUUUGAUUACUUGGCCAUCCUUGUCUGACUGCACUCUUUGUGUAAUUGUCAAGUUCUGCUUCACUUGUGCUUAACAGGCAUGUAGGAUGUUUGAAGGUUUUUGUAUAUAAAUGAAGACGGCGUAAAAAAAAAUAUAAGGCAUAUUUUUGAGUGAGGAUGUUGGUCGACACUUGCAAGGCAUCACUCGGGGGUAUGAGAUGAAAGUCAUUUUCAUUUUAAUAUUAUUUAAGACUAGAUAUAGUGAAGAUGAGACCAUCAAAUACCAUUUAACCUAAAAUACCAGCAGAGUCACUGCAAAGAUGCUUCUGAAGGACACUGACUCAGCCUUCCUGAAUUCAGCUCCAGCACUUCUGAAAACUUCCUACAUUAAUUAGAUCUAGUUGUUUAGACCAUCUGAAAAAAUAGAGCAGCUCAUUUCUUGUGUGCAUUUUUUGCUAUCUUGUACAUCUUUACUGUGUGCAUCAGUGUUGCUUUGCUGUCUGAGAUCAGUGCUGUUCCAGAUCUCAACUGAGAGAGUUUCAUUCCUAGGCAGAUAAUUUAGGUAAGACAUGAAGAAAGCAGAGAAUGCCUGAUCAACUGUGAGAUGGUUGUUGUACAGAGGUAUUGCACUCCACGUCCAGGCAUUUAAAAGCACAGAGCACAAUGUGACAUUUUGUGUCCUGUAUUUAAAUCCAGUUCUGCUGGAGAAAUGAUUCUUUGUUCUUUUCUCUCUCUUUCACACAACCCUAUCAUAAAAAGACCUUGAUUUGCUGGGGCCCUAUGGGUGGUAGCUCCAAGAUGAGGAAGAAAAGCUUGUGGCUAUUCACCGAUUGUGGUGGAAGUUAUAUAUAUAUGUAUAUAUAUAUAUUAACAUAAAAAAAAAAAAAUCCACAGAACUUAUUCAGACUAGCUUGUUUCAGACCAUGUUUAG
rnacentral:lncRNA from 1 species